UGGGUAGUCCGCACGAGCGCACCUUAUCGUUAGUUACUAACAGUUCGGCUGAGGACUCUAGCGAAACUGCCGGUGAUAAGCCGGAGGAAGGUGGGGAUGACGUCAAGUCCUCAUGGCCCUUACACGCUGGGCUACACACGUGCUACAAUGGUAACUACAACGGGACGCAAUACCGCGAGGUGGAGCAAAUCCCCAAAAGUUAUCUCAGUUCGGAUUGCACUCUGCAACUCGAGUGCAUGAAGUUGGAAUUGCUAGUAAUCGCGGAUCAGCAUGCCGCGGUGAGUACGUUCCCGGGUCUUGUACACACCGCCCGUCACACCAUGAGAGUUGGUUUUAUCUUAAGUCAGUGCGCUAACCUUCGGGAGGCAGCUGCCCACGGUACGGCCAGCGAUUGGGGUGAAGUCGUAACAAGGUAGCCGUAGGGGAACCUGCGGCUGGAUCACCUCCUUUCU
rnacentral:rRNA from 1 species